CAGUCGCCACGGUAAUACGAAGGGUGCAAGCGUUAAUCGGAAUUACUGGGCGUAAAGCGUGCGUAGGCGGUUUGUUAAGUCUGUUGUGAAAUCCCCGGGCUCAACCUGGGAAUUGCGAUGGAUACUGGGCGACUAGAGUGCGGUAGAGGAUAGUGGAAUUUCCGGUGUAGCAGUGAAAUGCGUAGAGAUCGGAAGGAACAUCUGUGGCGAAGGCGACUAUCUGGGCCAACACUGACACUGAGACACGAAAGCGUGGGGAGCGAACAGGAUUAGAUACCCCGGUAGUCCCUGUCUCUUAUAC
rnacentral:rRNA from 1 species